AUUGAACGCUGGCGGCAUGCUUUACACAUGCAAGUCGAACGGUAACAGGUUAAGCUGACGAGUGGCGAACGGGUGAGUAAUGCAUCGGAACGUGCCCGGUCGUGGGGGAUAACGCAGCGAAAGCUGCGCUAAUACCGCAUACGAUCUGAGGAUGAAAGCGGGGGACCGUAAGGCCUCGCGCGAUCGGAGCGGCCGAUGUCAGAUUAGGUAGUUGGUGGGGUAAAGGCUCACCAAGCCGACGAUCUGUAGCUGGGCUGAGAGGACGACCAGCCACACUGGGACUGAGACACGGCCCAGACUCCUACGGGAGGCAGCAGGGGGGAAUUUUGGACAAUGGGCGCAAGCCUGAUCCAGCAAUGCCGCGUGCAGGAAGAAGGCCUUCGGGUUGUAAACUGCUUUUGUACGGAGCGAAAAGGCUCUCUCUAAUACAGGGGGCUCAUGACGGUACCGUAAGAAUAAGCACCGGCUAACUACGUGCCAGCCGCCGCUGUAACAC
rnacentral:rRNA from 1 species